rnacentral:rRNA from 1 species
CGAAGUGCGGCUGCUAUACAUGCAGUCGAACGAGCUUCCGUUGAAUGACGUGCUUGCACUGAUUUCAACAAUGAAGCGAGUGGCGAACUGGUGAGUAACACGUGGGGAAUCUGCCCAGAAGCAGGGGAUAACACUUGGAAACAGGUGCUAAUACCGUAUAACAACAAAAUCCGCAUGGAUUUUGUUUGAAAGGUGGCUUCGGCUAUCACUUCUGGAUGAUCCCGCGGCGUAUUAGUUAGUUGGUGAGGUAAAGGCCCACCAAGACGAUGAUACGUAGCCGACCUGAGAGGGUAAUCGGCCACAUUGGGACUGAGACACGGCCCAAACUCCUACGGGAGGCAGCAGUAGGGAAUCUUCCACAAUGGACGAAAGUCUGAUGGAGCAAUGCCGCGUGAGUGAAGAAGGGUUUCGGCUCGUAAAACUCUGUUGUUAAAGAAGAACACCUUUGAGAGUAACUGUUCAAGGGUUGACGGUAUUUAACCAGAAAGCCACGGCUAACUACGUGCCAGCAGCCGCGGUAAUACGUAGGUGGCAAGCGUUGUCCGGAUUUAUUGGGCGUAAAGCGAGCGCAGGCGGUUUUUUAAGUCUGAUGUGAAAGCCUUCGGCUUAACCGGAGAAGUGCAUCGGAAACUGGGAGACUUGAGUGCAGAAGAGGACAGUGGAACUCCAUGUGUAGCGGUGGAAUGCGUAGAUAUAUGGAAGAACACCAGUGGCGAAGGCGGCUGUCUAGUCUGUAACUGACGCUGAGGCUCGAAAGCAUGGGUAGCGAACAGGAUUAGAUACCCUGGUAGUCCAUGCCGUAAACGAUGAGUGCUAAGUGUUGGAGGGUUUCCGCCCUUCAGUGCUGCAGCUAACGCAUUAAGCACUCCGCCUGGGGAGUACGACCGCAAGGUUGAAACUCAAAGGAAUUGACGGGGGCCCGCACAAGCGGUGGAGCAUGUGGUUUAAUUCGAAGCUACGCGAAGAACCUUACCAGGUCUUGACAUCUUCUGCCAAUCUUAGAGAUAAGACGUUCCCUUUCGGGGACAGAAUGACAGUGUGCAUGAUGUCGUCAGCUCGUGUCGUGAGAUGUUGGGGUAAGUCCCGCAACGAGCGCAACCCUUAUUUAUCAGUUGCCAGCAUUCAG